UUCAUAUGCACCCGCUAACAGAAAGCCUUUCAUGAAAGCACAAGCAUCCAGUUCUGUGGGACAGAGGAGGAAGAGGAGCAGCAGAGAAUAUUAAAGGAGGAAGAAUCGAUUUUUUCAUUUCCUGCUGCUGACGGAGGCAGAGCUUCUCCUGAUAUUCAUCCUCACAGGGCAGCGAUGUUUGGUCUGGAGAAUCGGGAAAUAGUGAAGGAGGAAACUGGGCAGGUUUUUCUUGGCCCAGAGUCUAACUUCAGCAAUCUGCCAAGAGAUUCUGCAGGAGGAACUGAAACCCUCACAGGAUGAGAACCACAGAAGAAGAUGAACUUUUUACAUGACUGUAACGUUUAGGCUGCCUCCUGCAGUAUCACACUUCCUGUUAUCUUCUUUUACUUCCCAGUUUACUUCCUCUUAGCUUCCAGUUUUGUUUCCUGUUAGUGCAGCAGUGUGAUGUUAUUACACUGGAUUGUAAAGUCAGAAGCUAUUCUGGUAGGAAAUUAUGUGAGCACUGGCGGCUUUUAUUUUGAAAAGACGGCUUCAUUGCAAAACAGCGGGUAACUUCCUGUUUCAAACUUAUUAUUUUUAUUCAAAUUUAAUGUGUUACGAAUAAAAAUGUGAAUUAUUAUCUUUACUGUUGAGCAUAUUGAGUUCAGUUCGGGUUUAAAAAGACAAAUUAAUGAAUCAUAACUUUACAGUCUGAAGGGUUUUCCCUCUUCGUUGCUCCUUCUAUUCGGAUUCCAGGGGAGAAGGAAACUGUUGAGGCUUUGAAGGAAACGGGUCUUCAGGGGAACAAGAUGCUUCAGACAUUUCAUCAGGAAACAUUCAGGAGUUUCUUCAUGUUGUUCUUCCAACACGACUUGUUUUGUCUUCUUCUCUUUAAGAUGUGGAUACAACACUGCCCCCUACAUCAGAAGAUGAUAAAUAAAUUAAAAAGUGGAAUAUGAAAGAUGGAGCAG